rnacentral:rRNA from 1 species
AUGACGAUCUUAAGCUGGAACUGUCAGGGUUUGGGCCACCCCGGUACAGUUCGGGAGUUGGUGUGCCUAGUGCACACACAUCGCCCCUCUGUCGUGUUCAUCUCCAAGACACGGCAGUGUGAAGAGAGCGUCAAAAGAAUAAGAGCUAGAAUAGGACUUAAGAACUAUAUCACCCAUGAUGGGGUUGGAAAAGGUGCCGGCAUCGCCCUAUUUUGGGACGAUAAC